UACGUAGGGUGCAAGCGUUAAUCGGAAUUACUGGGCGUAAAGCGUGCGCAGGCGGUUGUGCAAGACCGAUGUGAAAUCCCCGGGCUUAACCUGGGAAUGGCAUUGGUGACUGCACGGCUAGAGUGUGUCAGAGGGGGGUAGAAUUCCACGUGUAGCAGUGAAAUGCGUAGAGAUGUGGAGGAAUACCGAUGGCGAAGGCAGCCCCCAGGGAUAACACUGACGCUCAUGCACGAAAGCGUGGGGAGCAAACAGG
rnacentral:rRNA from 1 species